ACUUUAUUAGAGCUCAUUACUUUGGGGAAUCGUGUGAAAUUCACGAACUGUCGCGCAACUGUAAAUCAUAUAUUAUGAUAAGUCAGAUUACCAUUCUUGAGUUAUUAUUCACCUUUUAGCUUUCGCGAAAAAAGCAAAAAAAUUAU
rnacentral:sRNA from 1 species